GCAUAUGAUCAAGAGUCAAUGGUAUUUUCCCUGUCCUCGGACACAUAAGAAUUGGAGGCAAAGAAAUGUGGAUUUGGAGAAGUUUGGGGCCAGCUUGCUCCUCGCAGGCUCCAGCGCCCCCAUCCCACACUG